AGUUUCAUUUCGAUCUUCAAACACUCAACAUCAGCCAACAUCAUAGUGGAUUCAGUCGACGUGACAGGAUCACACAGAUCCUGACGUUGUGUUGGAAUUUUCACUUUAGUAUAUUCGAGUGAAUUUAACGCAUCAGUGUUGGCAUGUAUUUCUCGAGCCAUGUACUAAAUUGCAAUAAAAAAAGUCAGAUACACAUUUAUGAAAUAUUAAAUAAAAGAAAUAAUAAAAUAAAAAUAAAAAUUUAAAUCUCAAAAAUUAUAAUAAGAAACAGAAACUCAAUAAAACGUGAAGACCAUUUAAGCGGUAAAAACAGUUUUCAGCAAAUUUAACAAUUAUUAAAUACAUUAAUCUACGAAAAGAAGUUUUAAAAGCAAACAACAAUAAGUAUAUUAUUUUAAAAAUGAAUUAUUCAACGAAAGUCAGUUCCAAGGACAAUGCUCCACCAUUUAAUCAUUCUGUGUUCUAUAAAAGAGAAUUUGAAUCUAAUAUAAUGUUUUUCCAUUUACAGGAAAGUUUUAACCCAAGGAGCGUACGCUAAACACGAUCAAUUGAAACUCAACGAAACAUUUCAACUUCGUCAUAUUAAAAUUUGCAAUUCCGCAUACAUAUGUACAUCGAACAUGAAUUUCAAAAUCCGUUUAAAACAUUUUUCAUACAACUUUGAAGCAUCUCGCAACAAAAUACUCUCACAAAUGAGUUUGAACUUAAAAUGAAGAAUUUGACUCACAUUUGGUAGCAAAACGAAAGUAAUAUGAAGAUACUUUCAAACUCAUUUUAAUGCGGCGAAGAAAUGUGGCUUUCGUGGAGAAAUGCGCAGGAGAAACAACGGAGAACCAAAUAAAAUCCAUGCAAAGAUAAAUUACCCCGUUCAUAUACAACUACUACUACAACACAUACAAAGGCGAGAGCUAAUUUCCCCUCAAAAGAAGACUCAAGAGAACAGAGAUAAAGGCAUCAUCCCAGCUACAGACAGAUCUCUUCAACCCCUUGAACAAAAGCACCAAUACUUUUAAGAAUCAUCACGGACUCUCUCACCAACACUACUUGUACUUCGAACAAAAGCCAAGAAAACAAAUUUUGUGCUUAGUAAUGUGGUUGAAAUGCAAUGCAUAGAUUUUGGAUAGUUUUGGCUAGUGUUUUGGCUGUGACUAAAUUAUUAUCGGUUAAUUCGCAUUGCAUAUAAAUUUAGCAUCAUGAAAUAUAUAAAUAUAAAUGUGACACGGAAAUCCAAAAUUGAGACUUUUCUAAAUUCAUCGAUCGUAGCGGCUUACGCACUUAUCUUUGGCACAAAUGAAAGUUUCUAAAAAUUGAGAAGCAAUUUAAAAAAACAAACAAUUUCAAUUCAAAACACAAAAAUGUGAUAACGCAAUGUCUUCGGCUAUUUCUUUUCCAAAAGCAAUAUACAUUUUGUUUGCUUAUUUAACUAUUCAGUAAUUAUUCUGAUCAAAAUUAAAUCAAUCUAACGAAAAACAAAAAUAAUUUCCUUUAAAUAAAUCUGAUGAAUCUGAAAAAUGAAAUGAAAUUGAAACUUCCAAAAGCAACUCUAUAAAAAAACAAAAUUCAAAAUUGUAAUUCUCGCAUACUUGAAUAACCAAAUUGUAGAAAAUAUAUGUAUAUGCACAAUGGCAACAAAAAGCGACCUAUAAAACAAAAUUAAAGUGACUAUAAAGCGUACAUUAUUAUACAUAUUAACAGAGACAUAAAUUACCCUAUGCGGCAGAACGGAAGUCGUUAUGCGACAAACGCAAGAAAUUUCAAAUUCAUACUCCUCUGGCAUUAGUCAACUACAAAGCUCAUUACAACUCCCCGGAAAAACGCAAUAAAAAAUCCACUUUGGCAAGCAACUCGGCUCAACAAGACAAAGUCAUCUUAAAAUGGCAACACAAAAAGUACCAAACAAAAACAAAAUUCUAAAUAAGAAAACACUUUAGCAGUAAAUUUUGAGUUCUUAAAACCGUUUAAAGUAUAAUAGUAAAAUUUAAAAGACUAACAGAGUAGCUAAGCAUUAUGCAAUAUCUAACAGAAUUAUUUGAACCCAAAUUUCAACUCGAAACUCCAAAUGACCAACUACCAUAAUUCGUGAUAGUCAAUCAAAUACAGUCAAACAGCACUGAAGUCUGUAAAUGUCAAAAACUGAAAAUCUCAUUCAAUUACUUAUCCAAGUGGAAAAGCAAAAAGCUCGUUUAUUUGACAGAACUUUCAACACAAACGAUAAAAUGAUGAAAUUCAAAUCAAACGCAACUUCUGACUUACAUCAAAAAACGAUGACUACCGCAUCUCUACACAAAUUUUACCUUCGUCGGUCAACAUGCACAACUAAAAUAUUAAAUUUAUUCAGAAAGAAAAUUCAACUUUGGCAACGUUCUUAAAUUGUGGUCAAAUUUCUUGAAGAAAAUCUGUAAAUCUGGAUUAAUAAUAUACGGGCACAUAUUUUACUCACAAAUCCACACACAUAUGCAGAAGUUAAUAGCAUAGCAUAAAAAAUAGCAAAACUACAACAUCAAAAACAAAUUGAACUCAAGUAAUUCCAUAAGUGUGGAAACAAAAGCGUAGUCGAGGCAAAAGAACCCUCAGAAACAUAUUUACGACGAACUUUCAUCAAAUAAAUAAACAAAAAUAAAACAACACAUGCCGCAGAUUCAAAUCAGAUUCACCGUCAGACUGGCAGUCAAGCGCUUUUUAUACAAUCUUUCAAACCCAAAUACUUACAAACGCACACACAUGCACAUAUGAGUAUAACUCAACAUCAUCGACAACAUCGAAUUUGCUAUUGAGCAAACAAUCCAAAAGCAGCAAUGUGUAACAGCUUCGACAGCAUAAGCAAAACAUAAGCUACAAAAUCACACACAGCAGCAUUUAAACUUUCCAUAAUAAAUUUAUGAACCAGCAGCAGUCGCAGUAAUUGCUAUCAAUAAAAUAUAAACCCCAAAAAACGUUCAAACUCACACUAUGGCCAUGCGCAGUCUCUAGCCAACAAGCCAACAGCAGGCCAAGCUCAUUCACAUAGCACUCUAUCGUGCUAUCGUAUUCAACUAUUCCACCUCCCAAUCACUGCCAACCCGCCCAUUUGGCAAGCUAAUGACAUGAAGCCGCUGCAAAUGAAAUUACAAUAUUUCUAUUGAACAUGGCAGACAGCAACCAAAGAAACCAGCAGCAAGACCGCGGCAACACUAAAGAAUGCAAUUGCAAAGACAGCAUUCAAAGAAUAAGAAAAUACUAAAUUUAUAGCAAAAUUGCUCUCAAAUUCACUUCCUGCAUAUACCUACAAUUACAUGUAUGUACUCCAUCAACGGCAACGAAUUUGGUGAAACGCAUAAUGGUUUUAUCUAAGCUAACCGAAUGAUAUACUAUAUACAUACAUAUGUAUAUGUAUAUACAUAAAUUCAUACCUUUUUCUCAUCCAAAGCCUAAUUUUAAAAUGACGAUUUAUUCGCAUUCGUAUUUUUUAUGAAAAUUCGCCAAGCUAAAGUAACUUAUUUCGAUAUCAAUUUCUAUCAGCAUUAUCCUCCGCAGCACACGUACACAAGCAUUUAUACAUAAAUAUUUAUUAGCGAAUACGCUUUCAUUUUAUAUACAUAGUUUCUUUAAGGUUUUGACAAAUUCAUAGGCAAAAGCGGAUGGGACCAAAAUUGUUAUUAUGAGUAAAUUCAGUUCAGUGCAGUUCAGAAGACCCUCACUAGUUCGGUAGUUCACCACAAAAUCAUCAUUGUACACACAAAUAUUUUGAUAUUCACUGGCUGUGGACUCACUUUCGUAGUUUCUUCGGCGUCAAUGAUUUUCCAAAUAUGUGGUUGGGAUCUGUCCAGAGAGAUUGCCUUACGAAAUCAAAUACUGUUUGAUUGUACGGUAAAGAAUCAUCAGGGGGGAUACCCAGUGUAAUUGCUUUAAAUACGCAACGAACGAAAAAGCGCUUUGUGCCCACGUGCCAGAAAGCGAAAUGCAUACACUCACAUAUAUGUAUGUAAAUAUAUGUAAGCAAUAAAAAAGUAAAUAAUUGAUAAAUUAUCGAGGCAACUAAAAUGAAAUAAAUUAAACACACUAGCAAUAUUUUAAAGAUUCGAACAAACACCGAAAAUAAGUUAAUCCUUAUACGUAAGAUUAGUAUUUUGUAUGGUAAAGCGUACAAUAUAGUUUAAUUGGUUCAGCUCUUAUGGAAACAACAAAAAAACAAAUUCAGAAGAAUUGUCAAAGAAACAAAAAUACCAAAAUGGCCACAAUUGUUAUCACUACUAAAACUCAAUAUGGUACAAGGACUAAUCGAAAACAUUAUCGAAUGAGAAAAUAUAACGUAACUACACUCUGUAUCCCCUCAAUUGUGGACACAUUUUGCAGUCGCCAUAACACGAGUAGAAUAAAGGCAAAAAUGUGCUAAACUUCGUGAAUAUUUCUGAAAAAAGCCAAAAUCGAUGACCUUUUUAAUCAUCAAAAAUUAAGCUGGUCAUGCCAUGCAGGUGAUUUUAAAAGAGCUUGUAUGCAGCGCUAAAAUUAUGAAUGCCAAUCCUUUUGUCUAAAAUGUUCUCUUCUUACCAAUUUUGUAUUCGCAAACAUUUUAGAUGAGACGAUUGUUGCAUUAUUUACAUAUAUUCUUUAUUUUCAAUAUAUAUACAAAAUUAUAUAGAUGUUAGUAACAAUCAAUAAAAUGUUAUCCAAUCUCUUUGAUAGAUCUAGAAUUUCCGGUCUACAUACAUAUUUACUGCAUGCUAAUUCAAAUAUAAGUAAAGUAUUCAAAAAUUGUUAACACUAUCAAAUAAAAAAGUAGAUUAAAAUUAAAGUUAUGCUGUUCUAAUCUAAAUCUGUAUCGAAUUAUAAUAUACAAUUGUACAAAUCAAUUUGCUCCUAAUAAAACAAACAAUCUCAACUCAAA